GCACACUCAGUGAGAAAUUACCCGCACGUGACCGCAGAAGACUCCAAAAAGGCAAAACGAGCGAGAGGAUCAAAUGAAAAGCCGCAGGAAUUCUUCCCCGUUUCUUCCCGCGCAGCUUGAGCGAACGUGCAUUCGCACUCGCGCGCAUGCACGCACGCGCCCCGGUCUGCAGCGAGGCGAGGACAGUCGGGCACACGCGCAGACACGCGCCGCGCGGCGUUUGACGUCGUCUCUCACCCCGCCGUAACCUUUCACGCGUGCAGCCGCACAGGAGUGCACGUGCACGCGCGCGCGUACUCAGGCUGCCCGGCUGAAAGCGCGUGAGGAGAAAAUGAGAAACGCCAGUGAAGAAAUGGGUGUGUACGCGCUGGGGGCGGGACCAGGCACGUGAUUGACAGCCCAGGUGACCACUGAGUCGCGGCGCAUCAUUUAUGAAUGUAAGAAAUCAGCUGUUAAUGAAAGAAACGAGAAUGUUCUACACACACCGACCUGCUCAAAUCAUUUAGGAUGGAUGGACCUUCUGUCUGCGGCGCGCCACCCGUUCCCACAAUCCUUAGCGUGUAACCACACCUGUUUACCACGAGGUAGCACAUCCAGUCAAAGGUCCACGUCCUCGUCUCUGGGACGAAAACACCACUAAGUCUCACACCGUUUGUCCCUUCGUUGACCUGUGAUGAUGGAGACAGAUGAACCCCCUGGAGGAGACGGAGGAGACCUUUGGAUCAUCUCAUCACAGCUCUUUGUCUCCACCUGGAGGUGACGUGUGAGGAUGCACGUUAGCGGUCAUGUUGUCGACAGCAGCAGCAGGACGCUGAGGUCGGAGUGCGACAGGAAGCCGUCACGUCCAGGUGAAGACAGGCGUCCACGCUCACCCGAAGGAGGACAAUGUGACAAUGAGAGAGAACAAAUGGGACCUUCUGAUACGAUCAAAGUCUUCUCUCCAGGACUCAGUGUUGGAUGACGCGAGCGCUGAAUGGACCGAACAGAACCCGGGGAGACAACACAGGUGAAUUAAAGCUGAUUCACGUGUCAUGUGCUGCUGGUGUCGAAGCUCAGGACCAAAGAUCAAGUUCUGAUCUGUGCCUGGAGACGUAGAGAUGGAGGAGCUCACAAGCACAGCUGAACAAUUAAUGACGAGUUAUUCUGCUAAAACAGUAAAUGUUCAUAAUAAUCGUGCACAGGUUGGAAUAUCUUUGACAAUAGCUUUACUUCGACAGACAAUUUUCAUUUGGUUUUAGUCUUUUUUAGGGAUGUUUUUCUUCCAUGUCUUAUUUCAGAGCGGUGAGUAGAAGAAAAAUAUCCCAAAUACAUAUUACAUUGUUUGUCUACUUUAGAUUUCUGCUAAAUUCAAAGAGUUACCAUUACUUAACAACGAAUUUGCAUACUCAAAAUUACAUUUGAGGAAACUCAUAACGCUCCAAAUGUGGUGAUGAGCUGCUGAGGUUGAUGUUUACUCGUUGAUUCUUUGAUGUUCUUCCGUUCUUGUCGUCAUGGACUAAACUUCUCUCCUUAAAAUGAGUUUGUUCUCACGCUCUGAUCCAGAAUCCUCCUUCAGGAGCUCUUACAUCAGCGACUUUACAGCUUAACUCCUCUGCUCUGGAGGUUUGUUCACACUUCAUUCACACACUCUUAUACUACAUUUGUUAUUAAAACAUGGAGGAAAUUUAUGGAUUGUACCCUCUUAAAUUAAGUAAAAAAACUUUGGGCAGUUUACAAGAUGAUCUAUUUGAAAACGGGAGUAAAAACUAUAAAAUAUUGAAAUAUAGAAAUAUGCUUUUUGAGCUGAUAUUUUUGUCUUUGCCUGUUGAAUGAAGCCAAACCAAGUGAACAUGUGGAUUCAAUUUGGAGACACA
ensembl:lncRNA